rnacentral:rRNA from 1 species
CGAUUGAGUUUGAUCCUGGCUCAGAUUGAACGCUGGCGGCAUGCUUUACACAUGCAAGUCGAACGGCAGCACGGGUGCUUGCACCUGGUGGCGAGUGGCGAACGGGUGAGUAAUGCAUCGGAACGUACCCAGUCGUGGGGGAUAGCCCGGGGAAACCCGGAUUAAUACCGCAUACGCCCUGAGGGGGAAAGUGGGGGACCGCAAGGCCUCACGCGAUUGGAGCGGCUGAUGUCGGAUUAGCUAGUUGGUGGGGUAAAGGCCUACCAAGGCGACGAUCCGUAGCUGGUCUGAGAGGAUGAUCAGCCACACUGGGACUGAGACACGGCCCAGACUCCUACGGGAGGCAGCAGUGGGGAAUUUUGGACAAUGGGGGCAACCCUGAUCCAGCCAUGCCGCGUGAGUGAAGAAGGCCUUCGGGUUGUAAAGCUCUUUCAGUUGGGAAGAAACGGGGUUCUCUAAUACAGGGCUCUACUGACGGUACCGACAGAAGAAGCACCGGCUAACUACGUGCCAGCAGCCGCGGUAAUACGUAGGGUGCGAGCGUGAAUCGGAAUUACUGGGCGUAAAGCGUGCGCAGGCGGUUGUGUAAGACAGGUGUGAAAUCCCCGGGCUUAACCUGGGAACUGCGCUUGUGACUGCWCGGCUAGAGUACGGCAGAGGGGGGUGGAAUUCCACGUGUAGCAGUGAAAUGCGUAGAGAUGUGGGAGUAACACCGAUGGCCAAGGCAGCCCCCUGGGGCCGAUUCUGACGC